rnacentral:lncRNA from 1 species
AAGUUUUAGUUUUGUUUUUAAUUUUAUUAUGAGAACAAAGGCUUUACACAUUAUAAAGUAACCAGAUCUGGUUCAAUUUCAUAAUUCAAAAAAAGAGAAAAAUAUGGUUGCAAUUUUCAAGUUUAAUUAUAUUGUGUUUCUAUUUCUUUUCACAUUUCUAGUUGUAAAUAAUGUUGAGGGUAAGUUAAUUUUUCCUUCAAAUUUACUUCUUUAUUUCUUUGUUUAACAAUACUAAUUAAUAAUCUUUCAUUACAGCAUUUGAUGGAUGUCUUACUGAUUCUGAUUGUCGCAUACUUAUGUGUGGUCCGGGAUGUGCUAUGAGAUGUGUUGAUUUCAUAUGUCAAUGUCGCAUAUGAUACCACAUGUUCUUUGAAGAUUAUAUCCAAUAUAUCUUAAAGUGAUGAAUGAAUUAUCAUAUUAGAAAUCUUGCAGUUAUGACUUUUGUAGUCUAUUUCAAAGAAAAUGAAAUGAAAUAAUGUUGCAAUGAAUAUUACUAAUAUUUACAUCUUAUUUCUUAACUUGAAAGUGUUUUCUGAGUCUAUAUUUCAAGCAUAUCAAAAUUUCUUUUUUAAUCCACAACAUAUUAAAAUAUAUGAUAUAUUCUUGUAGGAAUAUCAAUAUAUUAAGUAUUCAAAGUUAUUGUAUCCUCAUGAACUAGUGUGAUAUUAGGGCCUUCCAACAAAAUAUAUUAUUUCA